ACUCAAUCAAAAAACGUAGUUCUGUAACAUAAAUUAACACACAAUGAACGAAUAAAUUUUAACCAGUACAUAUAUAUUUAUAAGCUAAACUGUUGAUCUUCUUUCUGUUGUUUCCUUACAUAUUGUUUCCAUUCACUCAAAACUAUAUAGUAAAGGUAUAAAUUAGUUAGCAUCAGUUCAUCAUGUUCAUACUAGAUCUAGUUUUUGUCUGGACUUCUUGAUUAAAUUAUUUAGAUUUACAAUUUAAGCUUGUUAAUUACCAAAUGAAAGAAAAAUGCAGUAUUAAAAUCACUGGUGGACAAGUACAUGUAGGUGUGAAUGUCCUGCAAAAAGAACUGGUAUCAAAUGAACAUGGGGAAGAAUAACCAAUACAGGAUAUAGAAAACUACCUCACAAACAUGGGAAAUAUUACAAGAAAAACCCAAUAUUUUGAUUUACGAAGAAGGCAUUUAUUUUGACAUUCAUGUAAAUGUUGUACUAGGAAAACUGAAGAGAUUAAAAUGUGAAUAAAAAUCCUUGGAAAUAAAGUUAGAAGAUUGAAAAUUA